UUUGCGAUGAUGAGAUGAAGCACUGGACGUGUUUUGGGCAGUGGACGGGCCUUCUUUUGAGGGGGGUCUCGCCGUGAGCUCAUUCUUACAAAACGACUUCUCCUUCCACUGAGCUCC